AGAUGGCGACCGGCGCACGGGUGAGUAACACGUAUCCAACCUGCCGGUAACUCGGGGAUAGCCUUUCGAAAGAAAGAUUAAUACCCGAUGGUAUAAUCAGACCGCAUGGUUUGAUUAUUAAAGAAUUUCGGUUAUCGAUGGGGAUGCGUUCCAUUAGGCAGUUGGUGAGGUAACGGCUCACCAAACCUUCGAUGGAUAGGGGUUCUGAGAGGAAGGUCCCCCACAUUGGAACUGAGACACGGUCCAG
rnacentral:rRNA from 1 species